rnacentral:rRNA from 1 species
GUCGUGAGAUGUUGGGUUAAGUCCCGCAACGAGCGCAACCCUUACUUUCAGUUACUAACACGUAAUGGUGAGGACUCUGAAGGGACUGCCGGGGACAACUCGGAGGAAGGUGGGGACGACGUCAAAUCAUCAUGCCCCUUAUGACCUGGGCUACACACGUGCUACAAUGGCCACCACAGAGAGGAGCGAACCUGCAAGGGGGAGCGGAUCUCAAAAAAGUGGUCCCAGUCCGGAUUGUGGGCUGCAACCCGCCCACAUGAAGUCGGAGUUGCUAGUAAUCGCGGAUCAGCAUGCCGCGGUGAAUACGUUCCCGGGCCUUGUACACACCGCCCGUCACACCAUGGGAGUUGGGAGUGCCCAAAGUCGGUGAGGUAACCGCAAGGAGCCAGCCGCCUAAGGCAAGACCAAUGACUGGGGUGAAGUCGUAACAAGGUAGCCGUA